rnacentral:tRNA from 1 species
CAGGAGGUAGUUUUAAUUAAAAUAUUAACAUUGGAAGUUAGAGAUUGAGUUUAGUUCUCACCUUUUGA